GAUGAACGCUGGCGGCGUGCCUAAUACAUGCAAGUCGAGCGAACAGACGAUGAGCUUUCUCCUCUGACGUUAGCGGCGGACGGGCGAGUAACACGUGGAUAACCUACUUAUAUUACUGGGAUAACUUCGGGAAACCGGUGCUAAUACCGGAUAAUAUAUUGAACCGCAUGGUUCAAUAGUUAAUGACGGCUUUGCUGUCACUUAUAGAUGGAUCCGCGUCGCAUUAGCUAGUUGGUAAGGUAACGGCUUACCAAGGCAACGAUGCGUAGCCGAGCUGAGAGGGUGAUCGGCCACACUGGAACUGAGACACGGUCCAGACUCCUACGGGAGGCAGCAGUAGGGAAUCUUCCGCAAUGGGCGCAAGCCUGACGGAGCCACACCGCGUGAGUGAUGAAGGUCUUCGGGUCGUAAAACUCUUUUGUUAGGGAAGAACAACUGUAUAAGUAACUAUGGACGUUUUGACGGUACCUAAUCAGAAAGCAACGGCUAACUACGUG
rnacentral:rRNA from 1 species